GACGAAGGGCGCGGGUGUUAUUCGUUUUGAUUGGGUGUAAAGGGUAGGUAGGCGGACUUUUAAGUUUUUGAACAAAAGCGCGGAGUGUUCCUACGCGAAGUUCUUCUAACAAAGGGGUCUUGUGUUGAAGAUAGGUUUAGGCAAGUUCGCUUUAGUAGGGGGUAGAAUCCAUCGAUAUGCGAACGAACGCCAGCUGGCGAAGGCGCUUUUCCAGCUUUCAACAGACGCUGAGCUACGGAAGCUUAGGUAGCAAACGGG
rnacentral:rRNA from 1 species